rnacentral:misc_RNA from 1 species
AAGAUAGUACAAUGGUGGUUAAAAAGCCACUGAAUAAUGUUCAUAUGCCACCAGAACUUCUGGUCUGUUUUGACAUUCGGUUAGACAUCUUGAAAUCCUUCUACUUGCUACCAUCAUUAAUGCACCGCCUGGCGUCCCUGAUGUUGGCUAGCCAGUUGAGGAAAGAUAUAUCAAGCCAUUCAGGGGACUUACAUAUAUCAAGCUCAUUGAUUCUGGG